CGCUGAUCGUGGUUGCUAAGGAGACUCGUCGGGCUGGGCAACGGGCGCGAGGACCAUUAAGACAGAUUCUGCAUCGGUUCGAGCGGACCGUCUCGAUGAGGUGAUGGUGAUGAUAAUAGUGUUGCUGUAAGGGCAGGCAAGGCCAGCCUGGCCCAGUGGAGGUGUGGAGGAGACCGAGCCAGAGUGGCGCUCGCAGUCAGACGGACAGACGGACGGACGCUCCCCUCCCUUCCCCUCCCCUUCCCUC